GGUUCCUCCGGGUUUCUGAACAGAAAGUGUAGGCCUCUGUGUACUCCUCGUUUCUGAACUCAUCACCGCUGACCGCCUGCAGCUUCACUGAGCAUGAACUACACGUCUAAGAGCAAUUGAACAUUGUUUCCGAUGGCAAACUUUGCUCUUGGACUGAGUUCUGAUUAUUUACCUAACUAAAUAUUCACUGAGCAGAAGAUUGCUGCACAGAGGACUGACGGUGGAGGGGAUACAACAGUGAGCGUGUCGCCCUGCCUUUACCAUCUGUCUUUGGAUGUACGUGGUCUGGAGCUAGUGCAGGACGCAAAUUAGAGGCCAAAUCCGAUUCAACCUGAUUUCAAAAGGGACUCCGCAGGGACCUGACUUAAAACCAAGGUGAUGAGGAUGGCAGAACUGAGCACACGCCUAGGGCAAGAUGGCGCACGGAAGCCUAAUGAAGGAGACCUGCAGCUGCAUAGAUGGGACCUGCACACAAUAGUUCUUCAGUUUUUAUCCCCCACGUUGUGGAUCACAACCUUUCACUAUUGCCUGCCUGACAUUUCCCUUACUGGCUGCAUACACUUGGACUGGUUGCUUAGAAUCAUCACCUCUGGAAGUAGGGUGAACAAAAACUUACUGAAUUAUUUAGAAGAGUCAAUGAAGGUAACACACAU
rnacentral:lncRNA from 1 species